GGCCUCAGUGUCUCCUCUCCUUCGGGAGAAUGGAAGGAUGCCUGCGGCCUAUGGGAAGAAAAUAUAAUUGCUGUUCCUUUGGGAAGUCAAAGUGUGAGAAUUACAGUGAAAGCACCUGCACAUCUCUGGUUUCCUGUGGCCAUGCAAUGGACUUUCUUAGUCUUUUUCUGGGGAAGUUGAGUCUCUGCCAAGACUGGGUCCCUGGCCUUGAAGAAGCUCACUGUGUUCAACUCUAUCUUUCUGUAAAAAGUAUAAAACACUAAGGAGUUAUAAAUAUAACUAUCUUAAAGCCACACAAAUCAAGGUCCACUGGAUUAAAAAUGUGCAUAUUUUGCCUUUUUGUUUCUCCUGAGCCACAAUCUUAGAUUUUCAAGUUGUAAGAAUUUCUCAGGGCCACAAGUGUCGUACAUUUUCUGCAGCUUUCAAGUGUGUAUGUGCAUGUGUGUGUAUGUGUUUGUAUACUUUAGAUUCAGUACUGAUAUUCUAACCAGCAAUGUCCUUUGAGGAAUGUUUAUAUCAAAAUGUGUUUGUCACCAAGGAUAUAGAUUAAAAAUCUUAAAAAAAAAAAAAAAAAA